UCUAAGAGGGAAGAAUAGAUGCACGUGCUCAAAAAACAUUUCUUUAUUGUCUUACUUCCAAACAGAUUCCCAGGGCAGGAGAUGUACAAGAGGACAGAGGCUUAAUUGAAACAUAACAUAACACAAAGUAAUUACAAAGACGGCCAAGGGAUUAUAGAAAUUUAAAAUGACUGGACCCAACUUCCAACUCCCGAGUCCAGAGGGUAAAAAACUGCACCCACCCACUGCUCACCUUUGCUGCCAGUGAUUACAGGAACGUUACGUGGGCGUGAGCGGCAGUCAAAGAUGAUCGGCUUCUGCACCCAGGGAAUGAGAAAAUGGGUCCCUUCUCCCACCACUAUGUCCUGGACGCCUCGGAAUCGGUCAAAGAUGACAGCCCUGUGGCCUGCGUCAACUAGAGAAGAGAGAAACAGCUCAGCAACAUUGCACUCAAAACACAAAGAAGAAAUAUUGAAUGAUUAUGUGACAAUCGCUAUGCCCAGAUUCUAGGUAAACCUGGAUUCAUUUACA